rnacentral:tRNA from 1 species
GUUGUGGCUCAUCGGUAGAGCACUUGCCUAGCAAAGGCAAAGCCCUGGGUUCGAUCCCCAACACAACA